rnacentral:rRNA from 1 species
GUCUUUCAAGUCAGGAGUGAAAGGCUACGGCUCAACCGUAGUAAGCUCUUGAAACUGGGAGACUUGAGUGCAGGAGAGGAGAGUGGAAUUCCUAGUGUAGCGGUGAAAUGCGUAGAUAUUAGGAGGAACACCAGUUGCGAAGGCGGCUCUCUGGACUGUAACUGACGCUGAGGCACGAAAGCGUGGGGAGCAAACAGGAUUAGAUACCCUGGUAGUCCACGCUGUAAACGAUGAGUACUAGGUGUCGGGGGUUACCCCCCUCGGUGCCGCAGCUAACGCAUUAAGUACUCCGCCUGGGAAGUACGC